CGGACGGGUGAGUAACGCGUGGGUAACCUACCCUAAAGCUCGGGAUAACAGUGGGAAACCGCUGCUAAUACCGGAUGACUUUAACCUAUGGCAUCAUGGGUUAAAGAAAGAUUUAUCGCUUUAGGAUGGGCCCGCGUCCCAUUAGCUAGUUGGUGAGGUAACGGCUCACCAAGGCGACGAUGGGUAGCCGGCCUGAGAGGGUGUACGGCCACACUGGGACUGAGACACGGCCCAGACUCCUACGGGAGGCAGCAGUAGGGAAUAUUGCGCAAUGGACGGAAGUCUGACGC
rnacentral:rRNA from 1 species